AUAAAUAGGUAAUAUAUCUGUAACAGCUAUAAUAAAUAGGUAAUAUAUCUGUAACAGCUAUAAUAAAUAGGUAAUAUAUCUGUAGCAGUGUAACAGCUAUAAUAAAUAGGUAAUAUAUCUGUAACAGCUGUAAUAAAUAGGUAAUAUAUCUGUAACAGCUGUAAUAAAUAGGUAAUAUAUCUGUAACAGCUGUAAUAAAUAGGUAAUAUAUCUGUAACAGCUGUAAUAAAUAGGUAAUAUAUCUGUAACAGCUAUAAUAAAUAGGUAAUAUAUCUGUAACAGCUAUAAUAAAUAGGUAAUAUAUCUGUAACAGCUGUAAUAAAUAGGUAAUAUAUCUGUAACAGCUAUAAUAAAUAGGUAAUAUAUCUGUAACAGCUAUAAUAAAUAGGUAAUAUAUCUGUAGCAGUGUAACAGCUAUAAUAAAUAGGUAAUAUAUCUGUACCAGCUAUAAUAAAUAGGUAAUAUAUCUGUAACAGCUAUAAUAAAUAGGUAAUAUAUCUGUAACAGCUAUAAUAAAUAGGUAAUAUAUCUGUAACAGUGUAACAGCUAUAAUAAAUAGGUAAUAUAUCUGUAACAGCUAUAAUAAAUAGGUAAUAUAUCUGUAACAGCUAUAAUAAAUAGGUAAUAUAUCUGUAGGAGCUAUAAUAAAUAGGUAAUAUAUCUGUAGGAGCUAUAAUAAAUAGGUAAUAUAUCUGUAGGAGCUAUAAUAAAUAGGUAAUAUAUCUGUAGCAGUGUAACAGCUAUAAUAAAUAGGUAAUAUAUCUGUAACAGCUAUAAUAAAUAGGUAAUAUAUCUGUAACAGCUAUAAUAAAUAGGUAAUAUAUCUGUAACAGCUAUAAUAAAUAGGUAAUAUAUCUGUAACAGCUAUAAUAAAUAGGUAAUAUAUCUGUAACAGUGUAACAGCUAUAAUAAAUAGGUAAUAUAUCUGUAACAGUGUAACAGCUAUAAUAAAUAGGUAAUAUAUCUGUAACAGUGUAACAGCUAUAAUAAAUAGGUAAUAUAUCUGUAACAGCUAUAAUAAAUAGGUAAUAUAUCUGUAACAGUGUAACAGCUAUAAUAAAUAGGUAAUAUAUCUGUAGCAGCUAUAAUAAAUAGGUAAUAUAUCUGUAACAGCUAUAAUAAAUAGGUAAUAUAUCUGUAACAGCUAUAAUAAAUAGGUAAUAUAUCUGUAACAGCUAUAAUAAAUAGGUAAUAUAUCUGUAACAGCUAUAAUAAAUAGGUAAUAUAUCUG